AAGCUCUUCCUGCUCACUUGGGCAGCUUAUCCACUAAAACUGGGAUGAUUCAGAGAAAGUAAGUAUGGACCUUGCACAAAGACAAUAUUCAAAGUCAGGAAGUAGAUUUUUUUUAG
rnacentral:snRNA from 10 species